CCUACGGGAGGCAGCAGUGAGGAAUAUUGGUCAAUGGUCGGGAGACUGAACCAGCCAAGCCGCGUGAGGGAUGAAGGUACAGAGUAUCGUAAACCUCUUUUGUCAGGGAACAAAGGCGGGGACGUGUCCCCGGAUGAGUGUACCUGAAGAAAAAGCAUCGGCUAACUCCGUGCCAGCAGCCGCUGUAAUACGGAGGAUGCGAGCGUUAUCCGGUUUUAUUGGGUUUAAAGGGUGCGCAGGCGGUCUGUUAAGUCAGCGGUAAAAGCCCGGGGCUCAACCCCGGCCCGCCGUUGAAACUGGCAGUCUCGAGUUGGAGAGAAGUAUGCGGAAUGCGCGGUGUAGCGGUGAAAUGCAUAGAUAUCGCGCAGAACUCCGAUUGCGAAGGCAGCAUGCCGGCUCCACACUGACGCUGAGGCACGAAAGCGUGGGUAUCGAACAGGAUUAGAUACCCGAGUAGUC
rnacentral:rRNA from 1 species